rnacentral:rRNA from 1 species
AACGUAGGGGGCAAGCGUUGUCCGGAUUUAUUGGGCGUAAAGAGCGUGUAGGCGGCCAAGCAGGUCAGCUGUGAAAACUCGAGGCUCAACCUCGAGACGUCGGUUGAAACCGCUUGGCUAGAGUCCGGAAGAGGAGAGUGGAAUUCCCGGUGUAGCGGUGAAAUGCGCAGAUAUCGGGAAGAACACCCGUGGCGAAGGCGGCUCUCUGGGACGGUACUGACGCUGAGACGCGAAAGCGUGGGGAGCGAACAGG